AGCGAACGCUGGCGGCAGGCCUAACACAUGCAAGUUGAACGAUCCUUCGGGAUAGUGGCGGACGGGUGAGUAACACGUGGGAACGUGCCUUUUGGUUCGGAACAACUCAGGGAAACUUGAGCUAAUACCGGAUGUGCCCUUCGGGGGAAAGAUUUAUCGCCAUUAGAGCGGCCCGCGUCUGAUUAGCUAGUUGGUGGGGUAAAGGCCUACCAAGGCGGCGAUCAGUAGCUGGUCUGAGAGGAUGAUCAGCCACAUUGGGACUGAGACACGGCCCAAACUCCUACGGGAGGCAGCAGUGGGGAAUCUUGCGCAAUGGGCGAAAGCCUGACGCAGCCAUGCCGCGUGAAUGAUGAAGGUCUUAGGAUUGUAAAAUUCUUUCACCGGGGACGAUAAUGACGGUACCCGGAGAAGAAGCCCCGGCUAACUUCGUGCCAGCAGCCGCGGUAA
rnacentral:rRNA from 1 species